CCGGCUAACUCCGUGCCAGCAGCCGCGGUAAUACGGAGGGGUGCGAGCGUUAAUCGGAAUUACUGGGCGUAAAGACGCAUGCAGGCGGCCUGUUAAGUCAGAUGUGAAAGACCCGGGGCGUUAACCUCCGGAAUUGCAUUUGAAACUGGCAGGCUAGAGUCUUGUAGAGGGGGGUAGGAAGUUUCAGGUGUAGCGGUGAAAUAGCGUAGAGAUCUGAAGGAAUACCAGUGGCGAAGGCGGCCCCCCUGGACAAAGACUGACGCUCAGAUGCGAAAGCGUGGGGAGCAAACAGGAUUAGAUACCCCUGGUAG
rnacentral:rRNA from 1 species